rnacentral:rRNA from 1 species
AACUCAAAGGAAUUGACGGGGGUCCGCACAAGCGGGUGGAGCAUGUGGUUUAAUUCGAUGAUACGCGAGGAACCUUACCUGGGCUUAAAUGUAGGUUGCAUAACUUAGAAAUAGGUUUUCCCUUCGGGGCUACUUACAAGGUGCUGCAUGGUUGUCGUCAGCUCGUGCCGUGAGGUGUCGGGUUAAGUCCCAUAACGAGCGCAACCCCUAUCGUUAGUUGCCAGCGGGUCAAGCCGGGGACUCUAGCGAGACUGCCACCGUAAGGUGAGAGGAAGGUGGGGAUGACGUCAAAUCAGCACGGCCCUUAUGUCCAGGGCUACACACGUGUUACAAUGGCCGAUACAAAGGGCAGCUACCGGGCGACCGGAUGCUAAUCUCAAAAGUCGGUCCCAGUUCGGAUUGGAGUCUGCAACCCGACUCCAUGAAGUUGGAUUCGCUAGUAAUCGCGCAUCAGCCAUGGCGCGGUGAAUACGUUCCCGGGCCUU